AUUGAACGCUGGCGGCAGGCCUAACACAUGCAAGUCGAACGGUAACAGGGAUCAGCUUGCUGAUUCGCUGACGAGUGGCGGACGGGUGAGUAAUGUCUGGGAAGCUGCCUGAUGGAGGGGGAUAACUACUGGAAACGGUAGCUAAUACCGCAUAACGUCGCAAGACCAAAGAGGGGGACCUUCGGGCCUCUUGCCAUCGGAUGUGCCCAGAUGGGAUUAGCUAGUAGGUGGGGUAACGGCUCACCUAGGCGACGAUCCCUAGCUGGUCUGAGAGAAUGACCAACCACGCUGGAACUGAGACACGGUCCAGACUCCUACGGGAGGCAGCAGUGGGGAAUAUUGCACAAUGGGCGCAAGCCUGAUGCAGCCAUGCCGCGUGUAUGAAGAAGGCCUUCGGGUUGUAAAGUACUUUCAGCGGGGAGGAAGGGAGUAAAGUUAAUACCUUUGCUCAUUGACGUUACCCGCAGAAGAAGCACGGGCUAACUCCGUG
rnacentral:rRNA from 1 species